rnacentral:rRNA from 1 species
AUGAGUGCUAGGUGCUGGCCUAUAGAGGGUCGGUGCCGAAGUUAACGCAAUAAGCACUCCACCUGGGGAGUACGGCCGCAAGGCUGAAACUCAAAGGAAUUGACGGGGGCCCGCACAAGCGGUGGAGCAUGUGGUUUAAUUCGAAGCAACGCGAAGAACCUUACCAGAUCUUGACAUCUUCCUGAAGUACUCUAUAAAAUGGGUAUGUCCUUCGGGACAGGAAUGACAGGUGGUGCAUGGCUGUCGUCAG